UGCAGUCGAACGGCAGCACGGAGCUUGCUCUGGUGGCGAGUGGCGAACGGGUGAGUAAUAUAUCGGAACGUACCCUAGAGUGGGGGAUAACGUAUCGAAAGUUACGCUAAUACCGCAUACGAUCUAAGGAUGAAAGUGGGGGAUCGCAAGACCUCAUGCUCGUGGAGCGGCCGAUAUCUGAUUAGCUAGUUGGUAGGGUAAAAGCCUACCAAGGCAUCGAUCAGUAGCUGGUCUGAGAGGACGACCAGCCACACUGGAACUGAGACACGGUCCAGACUCCUACGGGAGGCAGCAGUGGGGAAUUUUGGACAAUGGGCGAAAGCCUGAUCCAGCAAUGCCGCGUGAGUGAAGAAGGCCUUCGGGUUGUAAAGCUCUUUUGUCAGGGAAGAAACGGUGAAAGCUAAUAUCUUUUGCUAAUGACGGUACCUGAAGAAUAAGCACCGGCUAACUACGUGCCAGCAGCCGCGGUAAUACGUAGGGUGCAAGCGUUAAUCGGAAUUACUGGGCGUAAAGCGUGCGCAGGCGGUUUUGUAAGUCUGAUGUGAAAUCCCCGGGCUCAACCUGGGAAUUGCAUUGGAGACUGCAAGGCUAGAAUCUGGCAGAGGGGGGUAGAAUUCCACGUGUAGCAGUGAAAUGCGUAGAUAUGUGGAGGAACACCGAUGGCGAAGGCAGCCCCCUGGGUCAAGAUUGACGCUCAUGCACG
rnacentral:rRNA from 1 species